rnacentral:sRNA from 1 species
AAGAGGAUUUCUUUUGUUUUCAACUUCAGAAUGAAGAUAUACCAAAUGUAGCAGUUUAUCCUCAUAAUGGAAUGAUAGACUUAAAAUAUUUCCCAUAUUAUGGGAAAAAACUGCAUGUUGGGUAUCUACAGCCAUUGGUUGCUGUUCAGGUCAGCUUUGCUCCUAACAACACUGGGAAAGAAGUAACAGUUGAGUGCAAGAUUGAUGGAUCAGCCAACCUAAAAAGUCA